rnacentral:rRNA from 1 species
UACGAAGGGGGCUAGCGUUGCUCGGAAUCACUGGGCGUAAAGGGCGCGUAGGCGGCCAUUCAAGUCGGGGGUGAAAGCCUGUGGCUCAACCACAGAAUUGCCUUCGAUACUGGAGAGCUAGAGUCCGGAAGAGGUGAGUGGAACUGCGAGUGUAGAGGUGAAAUUCGUAGAUAUUCGCAAGAACACCAGUGGCGAAGGCGGCUCACUGGUCCGGUACUGACGCUGAGGUGCGAAAGCGUGGGGAGCAAACAGG